ensembl:lncRNA TEX26-AS1 TEX26 antisense RNA 1
GUGACGCGUCGCCAUGGAGACAAGGAUCGGGUUCCAGGGAGUUCUGCCCCUGCCAAGGGGUGCUGGCCACGCAGGAGGCUUAACCUGGCCGGCGCGGGAAUGGGGUGCAGAGAGCAAAGAAAUGUGGCUUUGAUCUUAUGGAUGCCUUACUUUUACAUUAUUUGUACAGUUCUUGCAGUGAGCUUUCCGGACCACUGUCUUGUAUGUUUCCUAAGAAAAGCAAAAAGGGAAGAGAUUGAAGAGAAAGUAGAUUUUCAACUACAAACUUUCAUCCAUUUGCUUUCAGCUUAAGCAAAUGUGCGCAAAGUUGUCAUGGAUUUUUGCAGUCAAUAAAAACCAAGCAAGAAGACUGAAUCCCAAGUCAUCUGGUAUAAAUGGAAGCAGUUUCUGUGAUAGUUCCACGCGGUCAGAAGGGUCAUCCUGGCUUAGGAGAGGGGCAGAAGAGGAAAUGCACGCGUGGAAACAGGAGUGGGCAGGGAGGAUGUGACACUGUCCUCCUCACCAGGCCACGUUCCUGGCACCAACCAUAGUGUUUGGGCAGAUAAGAAAAGAAACAAUUUGCUGAAACUCCCUCUGCUUAUAACAAAACUGACUGAAAUCAGCCGGAAUCAAUAUGGCCAAAUGCAGUUUGCGCACAGCAAGCUUGCUGAUGUCACAGCCUGAAUUUCUACUGCAUGUUUCAUACCAACUCCCUCCAAAUUUGCACAUGGGACCCACCAGGAAGCAUGAAGAGAGAGCCAUGCAUGCCUGAAGACUUCCCAGAUGUUCCCUUUGCUUCCACCAAUCACCUGCUAACCCCAGGAUCCAACCCUAAACCUUUUGUAAUAAAAUUACUGCCCUAAA